rnacentral:rRNA from 1 species
UACGUAGGGAGCAAGCGUUGUCCGGAAUCAUUGGGCGUAAAGGGAGCGUAGGCGGGUUAUCAAGUUGGAGGUGAAAGCCCAGGGCUCAACCUUGGAAUUGCCUUCAAAACUGAUAGCCUAGAGUAUGAUAGAGGUAAGUGGAACUCCGAGUGUAGAGGUGAAAUUCGUAGAUAUUCGGAAGAACACCAGUGGCGAAGGCGACUUACUGGAUCAUGACUGACGCUGAGGCUCGAAAGCGUGGGGAGCAAACAGG